rfam:Cuculus canorus isolate BGI_N303 unplaced genomic scaffold scaffold253, whole genome shotgun sequence.
CUGCCGUGAUGGCAAGAUUUUUCGUCAACAGCACUGCCCUGUGCGUGUGGUGACAGCGUUGGGCUGAGCGG